CGUACCAGGUUUCCGUAGGUGAACNUGCGAANGAUCAUUAUUGAAUACGUUGGGUUUCUGAUGCUGGCUCUUCACUGAGCAUGUGCUCGUUCCCUUCUAUUUAUCUUCUCUUGUGCACCUUUUGUAGUCUUUGAAGAAGUAAACCUUUUCGCAGCAAUGCGGUUUGGGGGCAUGGUCCAUCUGCCUCUGCUUGCUUUCUUCAAGGCUAUGUUUUCAUAUACACUAUAAAGUUACAGAAUGUCUUUUAACGAUUGUGCUAGUCGCAGUCAUUAAACCUAUACAACUUCCAGCAACGGAUCUCUUGGCUCUCCCAUCGAUGAAGAACGCAGCGAAAUGCGAUAAGUAAUGUGAAUUGCAGAAUUCAGUGAAUCAUCGAAUCUUUGAACGCACCUUGCGCCCUUUGGUAUUCCGAAGGGCAUGCCUGUUUGAGUGUCAUUAAAUUAUCAACCUUGCUUGCUUUUAUUGGCUUGCUCGGCUUGGAUGUGAGGGCUUUGCUGGCUUCCUUAAGUGGAUGGUCUACUCCCUUUAAAUGCAUUAGUGGGAUCUCUUGUGGACCGUCACUUGGUGUGAUAAUUAUCUAUGCCAGUUGACUUUGAAGCAAAACUAUGGGAACCUGCUUAUAACCGUCCGCAAGGACAACUUCUUGACAUUUUGACCCUCAAAUCAGGUA
rnacentral:sRNA from 1 species